rnacentral:rRNA from 1 species
AACGAACGCUGGCGGCAGGCCUAACACAUGCAAGUCGAGCGAGGACUUCGGUUCUAGCGGCGGACGGGUGAGUAACGCGUGGGAAUGUGCCCUUCUCUACGGAAUAGCCCUGGGGAACUGGGAGUAAUACCGUAUACGCCCUAUUGGGGAAAGAUUUAUCGGAGAAGGAUCAGCCCGCGUUGGAUUAGGUAGUUGGUGGGGUAAUGGCCUACCAAGCCGACGAUCCAUAGCUGGUUUGAGAGGAUGAUCAGCCACACUGGGACUGAGACACGGCCCAGACUCCUACGGGAGGCAGCAGUGGGGAAUCUUAGACAAUGGGGGCAACCCUGAUCUAGCCAUGCCGCGUGAGUGAUGAAGGCCUUAGGGUUGUAAAGCUCUUUCAGCUGGGAAGAUAAUGACGGUACCAGCAGAAGAAGCCCCGGCUAACUCCGUG